rnacentral:rRNA from 1 species
AUUGAACGCUGGCGGCAUGCUUUACACAUGCAAGUCGAACGGUAACAGGCCUUCGGGUGCUGACGAGUGGCGAACGGGUGAGUAAUGCAUCGGAACGUGCCCAGAGGUGGGGGAUAACGCAGCGAAAGCUGUGCUAAUACCGCAUGUGAUCUGAGGAUGAAAGCGGGGGACCAGGCAGCAAUGUUUGGCCUCGCGCCUUUGGAGCGGCCGAUGUCAGAUUAGGUAGUUGGUGGGUAAAGGCCUACCAAGCCGACGAUCUGUAGCUGGUCUGAGAGGACGACCAGCCACACUGGGACUGAGACACGGGCCAGACUCCUACGGGAGGCAGCAGUGGGGAAUUUUGGACAAUGGGCGCAAGCCUGAUCCAGCAAUGCCGCGUGCGGGAAGAAGGCCUUCGGGUUGUAAACCGCUUUUGUACGGAACGAAAAGGCUCUGGCUAAUACCUGGGGCUGAUGACGGUACCGUAAGAAUAAGCACCGGCUAACUACGUG